rnacentral:rRNA from 1 species
CCUACGGGGGGCUGCAGUGGGGAAUUUUGCACAAUGGACGAAAGUCUGAUGCAGCGAUUCCGCGUGGAGGAUGACGCAUUACGGUGUGUAAACUCCUUUUCUGGUGGAAGACGAAUGACGGUACACCAGGAAUAAGAGACGGCUAACUACGUGCCAGCAGCCGCGGUAAUACGUAGGUCUCAAGCGUUAUCCGGAUUUACUGGGCGUAAAGUAUCCGUAGCCUGAUAUGCAAGUCAGUUUUCAAAUAUCUCGACUCAAUCGGGAGAAGGGAAUAGAUACUGCAUAUCUAGAGAUUAUUGGAGGUUAGUGGAAUUUCGGGUGGAGCGGUGAAAUGCGUUGAUAUCCGAAAGAACGCCGAAAGCGAAAGCAGCUAACUAUGAUAAUUCUGACGGUGAGGGAUGACAGCGUGGGGAGCAAACGGGAUUAGAUACCCCUGUAGUC